AGGCAUUAGUGAGGAGGAUAAGAAAGAUUUGCAUAUAGAGAGAGUCAAGUUGUACAUUCUGGUCUGCUAUUAUUUCACAAGGGGAGAGAGAGGUGGCGUCGUUGGAGAAGGGAAGAGGGGCUUUCCAUCUACCAUGUGCAUGAAGGAGAAAUGGAGGAGGAAAUAAAGCUGCUGCUCCUACAUGCAAUUGAAGAGAUGGAGUAAUGGAGUAGAGAUUGAGAGAGAGGGAUUAAGAAGAGUAAUGUUGCUAUUGUUUUGCAUGAUGGAAUGAGAGACGGCGCCA
rnacentral:lncRNA from 1 species